rnacentral:SRP_RNA from 1 species
UGCCGGUCCUCUCGCAACGAUACAUUGCAAACCCCGUCAGGCCCGGAAGGGAGCAGCGGUAGUGAUGGACGCGUGUGCCGGGAUGUGGCUGGUAAGG